UCUAUUUUGAACCAAACAAAAAAUAAAAAUAUCUAGAGAAAUGGGAAGGAGAACCGUGAGAGAGAGAGAGAGGAAGAGAGAGAAGAGGAAAAGCUUCUCCCUAAGGAAUUCAACAUCCAUGGAAGCUUGAAGAUGGUUGAAGAAGAUAGAAGAGAGAGAAAAGAUCAACCAAAAGCUUGGGAAAAAUUAAAGAGACUAAGGGAUGAACAAAGGUUUGGGUAAGGUCGAGACGAGGACAUUGUACCAUUACCACCGGGAACCGAUCACUGUAACCAACCAAGUGGUCAGCCCUAGUCAUGACACCCGUUUUCUUUUGUCAACCAUCGUGGGUUCAGGCACUGCACGAAGCCAUUUAUUUUUGUAAAGUCUAUUGAAAUGUUGGCUUAAUUUUGAUUACCCAUUUAAAGUUAAAGAGGUAGAACUUCAAUGAUUUUUAUAUAAGCCCAAUGAUGGGGCUGGGUCUGUA